rnacentral:lncRNA from 1 species
ACGCAUGAUGUGACCUCUCAACGAGUUAGGCCUAGCCAACGACCGCACCCUUGUGCGGGCCUACAUCCACCUACGUGGCCGUACAUUACAACACUACAAUGCCACGUCUCCAUAGCCGGCCUUCAACAGUCAGACGACACCUUGACUACUUCGGCUAUGCCCUGUUGUGACUGCCAACACCCUACCGUUCUCAAGAAUGGGCCGUACUACAUGCCACCAGCCAGUCUAAGCUGCGUGUCAUCCGACUCAGAGCCACACCUCCUCAUAAUGAGGGCUGACAGUGCCUCUGCCACCUGAGCUACUCCACCGAGACUAUAUAUAGCUCGGUCAGGUAACUUCUAAGGGACCUCUCCUUUUGGCCGGACCAAAUUGAUCGCACUCUAAUUUGAUCGUCAGAGGGAAACCCCGGUGAGGCUUUGUGCAGGUCUAUGGCUGUCGCGUAGGAGGUGGCUCGCAUCCUCUCCUUCCAAUUAAUAGCAGCUC